rnacentral:lncRNA from 1 species
UCAGGCUGCUAUAAGCCUGGUUCACUGGAUUAUGAGACUUAAAGAUAUCGUAUAAGGGAACAGAGUUUUAUUUUGAGCAAAAGCUUGGAUUCUUGCAGAAGAGUUGACUUCAAAAAAAAACAGCAAACAAAAGCAAGCGUUCUGAAGUUUCCCUGCUUUCUGGAGAGAGAACGACGUGCCUUUUUGCAGGCAUUUCUCUGAAUCAGUUUUAUUGACACGGAUGUUUUCAGGCAUAGUCAGAUGUGGACCUUCUGGAAAUGCAGGAGGACCAAAAGCCACUGGGAGUAGGAAUUCCUAUCUAGAAGAAAAGACAUAGUGGAGAACUUCCAAGCUAUCUGCUGGCAGAUGCUGCUUCUGCUUCCUUAUGGAAAGACAGUAUCUUUGUUCCACCCAAUUAAAUAGAUACGGAAAGCCCUUCUGAGCUGAGCCUAGUAUGAUGUCCUGGAAGUCUUGCUUCACUGCAAAUUGGAGCCUUCAUUUGCACUCAGGAGUCUUGAGUCUCAGUUGAGGAUGACUAUGGCCUGUCUUAUGUGUGUUCAGACUGUGUUCCAGAUGAUCCCGUACCUCCAUCAGAAUCUCUCCCAUUG